UCUGAGAAAGCGACGUCCUCUGCUGGUCACCGCUGGAGUCGCUCUGGCUCCCGAUGCUUUCCUGAGCGUCCUGGAGGCUGACGGUCAAGUCAAAGACGAUGGAGCUGGAGAUCGUCUGGAGCUGCUCGCCGCUAAAGCCCAGCAUCACAGCAGCCGUGUGCAGAAGGUCAGAGGUCAUUUGGAUGGGCUUGACCAGAGCUCGGAUGACAAAGAAAGGGUGAAAUUAUGGGCUUCUCUGGCCAAGACUGCCCGGAAAC